AACGAACGCUGGCGGCGUGGAUAAGACAUGCAAGUCGGACGCUAAUUAGAGGUUAGCAAUAAUCUUUAGUUGGAGUGGCGCAAGGGUGCGUAACACGUGGGUAAUCUGCCGUGAAGACUG
rnacentral:rRNA from 1 species